rnacentral:misc_RNA from 1 species
GAUGAAGAACGUAGUGAAAUGCGAUAAGUAAUGUGAAUUGCAGAAUUCAGUGAAUCAUCGAAUCUUUGAACGCACAUUGCGCCCCUUGGUAUUCCGGGGGGCAUGCCUGUUCGAGCGUCAUUUCAACCCUCAAGCUCAGCUUGGUAUUGAGUCCAUGUCAGUAAUGGCAGGCUCUAAAAUCAGUGGCGGCGCCGCUGGGUCCUGAACGUAGUAAUAUCUCUCGUUACAGGUUCUCGGUGUGCUUCUGCCAAAACCCAAAUUUUCUAUGGUUGACCUCGGAUCAGGUAGGGAUACCCGCUGAACUUAAGCAUAUCAAUAAGCGGAGA